ensembl:lncRNA
AGCACUGCUCAGCCGUCUGGGGCAUCUGGACCCCGUGGGGACAGUGCAGGGCACCUAGGAAUGAAGAGUACUUCCCACAAGGCUGCACGCUUUGUGUGCGUUACCUCUGUCUGCCCAAGAAUGAAGCGAUGAAUGCCAUGUGCCUUAACAGUGGAGGAAAUUGAAAUUCAGAGAAGUGGGGUGUCUGCCCAGGGCAUGGAGGAUUCCCAGCUAGAAUGGCACCUCCAACCCCAGGAAGUUCCAGUCUGCGAUGGAAGGACAAAACCCGAGGGUAAUCUAAUUGCACUUUGAUGAGGCUUAGAAUACAGUGCUACUGGGGAGGAGGGACCGAGGAGGGUUUGGGCCUUGAAUGCCAAACAGACUGCGGACAGCCGAAGAAGGCUUUGUGUCCCUUGUUGAGGGAGUGGGAGGUGAGGCUGGAAAGGCCAGCUAAAGUCAGACUCUGAGGGUCUUGAGUGACCUCCUGAUUAUUACUAUGGUUUAACCUUAUCACAUAGGUUACAGGGAGCCAUCGACGGGGGGAGAAUGGGUCUCCUUUAGGCCCCUUCCCAGGGCUCCCUGGCUGAAUGAAAGCAUAAAUGCCGAUUGAGAACCUUCGAUGUGCUGGCACUUGCUGGAUUUAGAAGUGACUUAAACACAUGUAAGACUUUAACGAGGUGAUGCCUCAGUGACCAGAGAGCAGAUGAUGACGUGGGGAGUGGGGAUCACUGCUGAAACCUGACCCUCAUGAGAGGUGCAGCUCUCAGCAAAGAAAGAAGAAGUCCCUUGACCCAGGACGGGGCAGAGGGGUGGUUGGAGGAGGGGGGUAAAUUCUCUCUCAGGCUGUUUCCUUUAGGGGAGAGAGCUUUGCAGUGGCCACUCUGCUGGAGUUCAGCAUGAUAGAUGACAAUGGCAAUGAGAAAAAGCCACCAAUGGUCCGGACACCGUGUUUGCCAAGGUAGGGAAUUGCUCCUUGUAUGACCACUGUGAAUCAGUAUGCAGUGAGCAAGUAAAAAGAAAGGUGAUAGUAGCGGUUCUGUCCUCCGGGUCCUUCCUCUUGACUACCUGCCAAAGCCUGGAUUAGGCUCCAGCUAAACCAGGUUAACUGGGUGAAGCCACAGGAGGGGCUGAGGUGCUGAGAAGGCCAUUCUUUUGCCACUGGGGUUGCUGAUUAGCCAUGGCCCACCCAUCAUCCACCUUUGCUUCCACCAGAUACUCCAAGGUCUCCCAGUUCCUUACCACCUGGUCUUGGGCUGCCUUGCACAGAUGGUACUGCUGCUAACUGGGCCACUGACCCCAGGCCUGCUACUGGCCGGCUUUCUAGGUUUUGCCAAAGCUUCUCUCAGGUUUUCCACAUCGCCCCAUGGCAGCUGCAGACACCAAGUUUUCCCCCAAGCUCUGGCUGACACAGGCUGCUCUGGCCCCAGAGGUACAUCUGAGGAGCUCUUUGUUGUGCCCAUGGACAGGAGGUUUGGGGACAGAUGUGUUCUGCCCAGCUUCAUGACUCUCGGUCAAGAGCGGCUCUUACUCAACCACGGGACGCUUCCUCCCAGGGUACACCCGGGCAGAUGCUGCCCCUGAGCCCAUAGUACUUGAAGCCCAGCCUCGUGUGCACAGCAGUGUCCUGAGUCGCCUCCUACAGGUCCCUACGGUUGAUGAUCCUGCAGCCUUAGGAGUUCAGAAGAGGGCGAGGCAACUGAGGGCUGGAGUGACCAGGAAAGGGUAGGAGAAGAAGAGCUUGAGCAGGAGAGAAAACAUUAAGAAGAGAGUGAAUGGAGUUCCCGCAGUGGCUCAGCAGGUUAAGAACCCAACUAGUAUCCAUGAGGCCAUUGGUUUGAUCCCUGGCCCUGCUCAGAGGAUUAAGGAUCCUGCAUUGCCAUGAGCUGCUGUGUAGGUUGCAGAUAUGGCUCAGAUCUGGCAUGGCAGAUCUGACAUUGCUGUGGCUGUGGCUGUAGGGUAGGCUGGUGGCUUCUGAUCUGAUUUGACCUGUAGCCUGGGAACUUCCAUAUGCCCUACAAAAAAAAAAAAAAAAAAAAAAAAAAAAAAAAA